rfam:Picea glauca, whole genome shotgun sequence.
UUAUGUGUAUGCCUACAUGUUAAUGCACCGGAUCCCAUUAGAACUCGGUAGUUAAAAAUGCUUGGGCUAGAGUAGUAUUGGGAUGGGUGACCUCUCGGGAAGUCCUAGUGGUUUACAUGCC